UAAAAACUUAAUCUCUGCUCAAUGGUAAGUUUUGUCUAUCCAUCGAGGGAUUCAGGCAGCAGCAAGAAAUUGAGGAAAAAAAUCUCCAAAGAUACAUAAGGUAGAAAGGAAUUCAUCUUAUUAAAAGGAAAAGAACAUUUGGUGCAAGGUGACCAGGUUUCUGCAAGUUUCUGGACCAGAUGACAUCCAUAGCCAGGUUCAGGUGAGCAGAGAUUGGAGGGACUGAGCUGCCCUGUUGGUCACGACUACGCCCUCCGACAGCAUGAAGAAGCUACAGAAGAUGGCCCUGGGUCCUUAAUCCCAUAGAUACAGAAUGGUAAAAUUGACAGCGGGAAAUUGAGGCUGCCGUGAUCUUUCUAAGUAGCCUGAUGGUCUUUAAUAGGUGUUCUUAAGUUCGCAUGAUUGACUUACUAACCCUCCUUGUGAAUUGAUAAACCUUACUUUCCUUUCUAGAAGGCGAAUAGAAAGCCCUCGCACAUCACAGAACAGGGAUUAGACCUCUUACACAACCCUCAAGCACUGAAAGUUGUAAGUAGGCACCACGAGAUCUACAUAGAGUCAGGCAGUGAUUCAGGCCACUGCACCUCCUUACUGAUUAACGACUCCCUGUCUUUUGAAAAUCCUCUGGGGGGAUCCCUGAGUGGCCCAGUGGUUUAGCGCCUGCCUUCGGCCCAGGGUGUGAUCCUGAAGUCCUGGGAUCGAGUCCCACGUCGGGCUCCCUGUAUGGAGCCUGCUUCUCCCUCUGCCUGUGUCUCUGCCUCUCUCUCUCUCUCUCUGUCAUGAAUAAAUAAAUAAAAUCUUAAAAAAAAAAAAAAAAACACCCUCUGGGCGAGGCAGAAACCUCAGAACUGGCUUUUGGACAAAAAUCUGCGUUUUCUUCAGGUGGCUGGCCUUCUGAAUAUAAAGUUCAUAUUCCUUUCCAAUCAACACUUGUCUCUUGUAUUGACCUUUCAAGCACUGGACAGCUGAGUUUGAGAUUUGGUUAAUGAUAAUCUGAAAUAGACCAUGAUAAAUCAUUGUAAAUUGCUCUGACUUUGGAACGGUGAAAUUCAUUUAAUUACUGAGAAAAACCCCUAAACAUUGCCCGAAAUGGAAAACCAUUUAUUUCUAUUUUAAGGGAAAAGUAACCUGAAUACUAACAGAUAGCAUUAAAAAUUUUAAGCUGUAGAAUAAUGUAGAAAGGACCCUACUUGUUCGUUGCCCCAAACCCCAGCAGAUGCAGGAAUUCCCUCCACCAUGAUCCUGCAAGCCUAAGCUUGUUCACUCCCAGUGUGGGGACUCAUUGUGAGUCAGUGCACACCAUCCUUGGUUCUUGCCAUUUAAAAUUUUUUUUUAUAUAGCACAAACCUGUUUCCUUAAAACUUCUGCCCUUCCUUAACUUCUUUAUAUGUAAGAAUAUAUAAAUAUAUAAUGUAGCCUUUUGACAAUAUCAACUUUGAAUGUAAUUGAAGGCAGGAUGAUAUCGAAAUAAUGUGAUUAUUUUAUAACAAUGAAUUUUUGCUUUGUUUUCACAUUCUCACUUCCAACAACCAUACUCAUUUAUUUUUUAAACCUAAAAAUUAAGAAAAUAUUUCCCUAAUGAAUAGCAAUAGUCUCUUAGAUAUUAUGUUUUUACUUUGCAAUAUUUGUGUUCUCAGCCCUUUGGAAAUCAGAAUAAUUGAGUUUCAUUAUGAUGAGAUCUUACAUGUUUAAGUCACUUUUCUUUUUCUUACACGAAGUGAAACCAAUCACAGGAUAAUGAGUCUCACUCUGCUUAUUGACUGACUUCAGAUUGCUGAUUCUUGUCCUCUUCAGUUAGCCAAAGUAUUGAAGUUUCCUAAAUCUCUGCGUCUCCUCCUCCUCUUUUCUACUUGAAGUCUCCCACUUAGCUGGGAAGCAAACAACAGCUUGAGAGAAGCUGCUGAGAGGCAAGCAUCCUUGGGAGAACCCUAAAAACAAUCCCACAAAAUAAAGGCUCAUAUUUAUCCUUCUUGGAGUAUUGUGACAAAGAAAACACCACUGCUGCGUCUUGGCAUAUUUCGUUGAGAAAUAUUCGUAUCUUUCAAUUCAUUUCAACAAUUAUUUACUAAAAGUGCCAGGCACUGGGCUAGGAUCUAGGCCUUAAGCUAGUACUAUACUUACAAUAGACACAACUUGUGACCUUCUCUUCCUUAAAGAGAAGAGACUUCCUUAAAGUGGAGAGGACUUUGCCUCACUCACACAGCAAAGACGGCAACUCAUGUCCCAUAGUAUUGCAUAAGCCCCUAGAUGGC